rnacentral:rRNA from 1 species
UCCACUCCAGUGGCGAACGGGUGCGUAACACGUGAGCAACCUGCCUUCCGGUGGGGAAUAGCCGGCCUAACGGCCGGGUAAUACCGCAUGAAGCCUCGGGGUCGCAUGGCCCUGAGGUGAAAGCCGCAAGGCGCCGGGAGAGGGGCUCGCGACGUAUCAGCUGGUUGGCGGGGUAACGGCCCACCAAGGCUGCGACGCGUAGCUGAUCUGAGAGGACGAUCAGCCACAUUGGGACUGAGAUACGGCCCAGACUCCUACGGGAGGCAGCAGUGGGGAAUCUUGCGCAAUGGCCGCAAGGCUGACGCAGCGACGCCGCGUGUGGGAUGACGGCCUUCGGGUUGUAAACCACUGUGAGGGGGGACGAAUACCCGGCUUGACCGGGGGUGACGGUACCUCCAGAGGAAGCACCGGCUAACUCCGUGCCAGCAGCCGCGGUAAUACGGAGGGUGCGAGCGUUGUCCGGAAUCACUGGGCGUAAAGGGCGCGUAGGCGGCUCUGUAAGUCGGAUGUGAAAUCCCGGGGCUCAACUCCGGGGCGGCAUCCGAGACUGCAAGGCUGGAGCGUAGUAGGGGCGAGCGGAAUUCCCGGUGUAGCGGUGGAAUGCGUAGAUAUCGGGAAGAACACCAGUGGCGAAGGCGGCUCGCUGGGCUACUGCUGACGCUGAGGCGCGAAAGCGUGGGGAGCAAACAGGAUUAGAUACCCUGGU